rnacentral:rRNA from 1 species
UGUAUAAUGGGUCAGCGACUUAUAUUCUGUAGCAAGGUUAACCGAAUAGGGGAGCCGAAGGGAAACCGAGUCUUAACUGGGCGUUAAGUUGCAGGGUAUAGACCCGAAACCCGGUGAUCUAGCCAUGGGCAGGUUGAAGGUUGGGUAACACUAACUGGAGGACCGAACCGACUAAUGUUGAAAAAUUAGCGGAUGACUUGUGGCUGGGGGUGAAAGGCCAAUCAAACCGGGAGAUAGCUGGUUCUCCCCGAAAGCUAUUUAGGUAGCGCCUCGUGAACUCAUCUCCGGGGGUAGAGCACUGUUUCGGCAAGGGGGUCAUCCCGACUUACCAACCCGAUGCAAACUGCGAAUACCGGAGAAUGUUAUCACGGGAGACACACGGCGGGUGCUAACGUCCGUCGUGAAGAGGGAAACAACCCAGACCGCCAGCUAAGGUCCCAAAGUCAUGGUUAAGUGGGAAACGAUGUGGGAAGGCCCAGACAGCCAGGAUGUUGGCUUAGAAGCAGCCAUCAUUUAAAGAAAGCGUAAUAGCUCACUGGUCGAGUCGGCCUGCGCGGAAGAUGUAACGGGGCUAAACCAUGCACCGAAGCUGCGGCAGCGACGCUUAUGCGUUGUUGGGUAGGGGAGCGUUCUGUAAGCCUGUGAAGGUGUACUGUGAGGUAUGCUGGAGGUAUCAGAAGUGCGAAUGCUGACAUAAGUAACGAUAAAGCGGGUGAAAAGCCCGCUCGCCGGAAGACCAAGGGUUCCUGUCCAACGUUAAUCGGGGCAGGGUGAGUCGACCCCUAAGGCGAGGCCGAAAGGCGUAGUCGAUGGGAAACAGGUUAAUAUUCCUGUACUUGGUGUUACUGCGAAGGGGGGACGGAGAAGGCUAUGUUGGCCGGGCGACGGUUGUCCCGGUUUAAGCGUGUAGGCUGGUUUUCCAGGCAAAUCCGGAAAAUCAAGGCUGAGGCGUGAUGACGAGGCACUACGGUGCUGAAGCAACAAAUGCCCUGCUUCCAGGAAAAGCCUCUAAGCAUCAGGUAACAUCAAAUCGUACCCCAAACCGACACAGGUGGUCAGGUAGAGAAUACCAAGGCGCUUGAGAGAACUCGGGUGAAGGAACUAGGCAAAAUGGUGCCGUAACUUCGGGAGAAGGCACGCUGAUAUGUAGGUGAAGCGACUUGCUCGUGGAGCUGAAAUCAGUCGAAGAUACCAGCUGGCUGCAACUGUUUAUUAAAAACACAGCACUGUGCAAACACGAAAGUGGACGUAUACGGUGUGACGCCUGCCCGGUGCCGGAAGGUUAAUUGAUGGGGUCAGCGCAAGCGAAGCUCUUGAUCGAAGCCCCGGUAAACGGCGGCCGUAACUAUAACGGUCCUAAGGUAGCGAAAUUCCUUGUCGGGUAAGUUCCGACCUGCACGAAUGGCGUAAUGAUGGCCAGGCUGUCUCCACCCGAGACUCAGUGAAAUUGAACUCGCUGUGAAGAUGCAGUGUACCCGCGGCAAGACGGAAAGACCCCGUGAACCUUUACUAUAGCUUGACACUGAACAUUGAGCCUUGAUGUGUAGGAUAGGUGGGAGGCUUUGAAGUGUGGACGCCAGUCUGCAUGGAGCCGACCUUGAAAUACCACCCUUUAAUGUUUGAUGUUCUAACGUUGACCCGUAAUCCGGGUUGCGGACAGUGUCUGGUGGGUAGUUUGACUGGGGCGGUCUCCUCCUAAAGAGUAACGGAGGAGCACGAAGGUUGGCUAAUCCUGGUCGGACAUCAGGAGGUUAGUGCAAUGGCAUAAGCCAGCUUGACUGCGAGCGUGACGGCGCGAGCAGGUGCGAAAGCAGGUCAUAGUGAUCCGGUGGUUCUGAAUGGAAGGGCCAUCGCUCAACGGAUAAAAGGUACUCCGGGGAUAACAGGCUGAUACCGCCCAAGAGUUCAUAUCGACGGCGGUGUUUGGCACCUCGAUGUCGGCUCAUCACAUCCUGGGGCUGAAGUAGGUCCCAAGGGUAUGGCUGUUCGCCAUUUAAAGUGGUACGCGAGCUGGGUUUAGAACGUCGUGAGACAGUUCGGUCCCUAUCUGCCGUGGGCGCUGGAGAACUGAGGGGGGCUGCUCCUAGUACGAGAGGACCGGAGUGGACGCAUCACUGGUGUUCGGGUUGUCAUGCCAAUGGCACUGCCCGGUAGCUAAAUGCGGAAGAGAUAAGUGCUGAAAGCAUCUAAGCACGAAACUUGCCCCGAGAUGAGUUCUCCCUGACUCCUUGAGAGUCCUGAAGGAACGUUGAAGACGACGACGUUGAUAGGCCGGGUGUGUAAGCGCAGCGAUGCGUUGAGCUAACCGGUACUAAUGAACCGUGAGG